rnacentral:rRNA from 1 species
GUAGGGAAUAUUGCGCAAUGGGGGAAACCCUGACGCAGCGACGCCGCGUGAGUGAUGAAGGCCUUCGGGUCGUAAAGCUCUGUUGCAGGGGAAUAAAAAAAUGAAGGUACCCUGUGAGGAAGGAUCGGCUAACUUCGUGCCAGCAGCCGCGGUAAGACGAGGGAUCCUAGCGUUGCUCGGAAUCAUUGGGCGUAAAGAGGGCGUAGGUGGCUUGGUAAGUCAGGUGUGAAAGCCCAGGGCUCAACCCUGGAAGUGCAUUUGAUACUGCUGAGCUUGAGUGUCGGAGAGGUUACCGGAAUACCUGGUGUAGUGGUGAAAUACGUAGAUAUCAGGUGGAACACCGGAGGCGAAGGCGGGUAACUGGACGAACACUGACACUGAGGCCCGAAAGCGUGGGGAUCAAACAGGAUUAGAUACCCUGUAGUCC